GAGUGAGUGGCGGUACGGGUGAGUAACACGUGGUAACCUGCCUAAAGUGGGGAUAACAUUUGGAAACAGAUGCUAAUACCGCAUAAAACCUAACACCGCAUGGUGUAGGGUUGAAAGAUGGUUUCGGCUAUCACUUUAGGAUGGACCCGCGGUGCAUUAGUUAGUUGGUGAGGUAAAGGCUCACCAAGACCGUGAUGCAUAGCCGACCUGAGAGGGUAAUCGGCCACACUGGGACUGAGACACGGCCCAGACUCCUACGGGAGGCAGCAGUAGGGAAUCUUCCACAAUGGACGAAAGUCUGAUGGAGCAACGCCGCGUGAGUGAAGAAGGUUUUCGGAUCGUAAAACUCUGUUGUUGGAGAAGAAUGUAUCUGAUAGUAACUGAUCAGGUAGUGAUGGUAUCCAACCAGAAAGCCACGGCUAACUACGUG
rnacentral:rRNA from 1 species